AUUGAACGCUGGCGGAAUGCUUUACACAUGCAAGUCGGGCGGCAGCGCGGGGGCAACCCUGGCGGCGAGCGGCGAACGGGUGAGUAACACAUCGGAACGUACCCUGUCGUGGGGGAUAACGAAUCGAAAGAUUCGCUAAUACCGCAUACGACCUGAGGGUGAAAGCGGGGGAUCGCAAGACCUCGCGCGGGAGGAGCGGCCGAUGGCGGAUUAGCUAGUUGGUGGGGUAAAGGCCCACCAAGGCGACGAUCCGUAGCGGGUCUGAGAGGACGGCCCGCCACACUGGGACUGAGACACGGCCCAGACUCCUACGGGAGGCAGCAGUGGGGAAUUUUGGACAAUGGGGGCAACCCUGAUCCAGCCAUUCCGCGUGAGUGAAGAAGGCCUCGGUGUAAGCUCUUCGGUC
rnacentral:rRNA from 1 species